rfam:Gossypium hirsutum cultivar TM-1 chromosome 16, whole genome shotgun sequence
UGUUAGAAAUAUUAUCCAUUCCUACUGUUAAAAAAUUAACGUGACUAACAAAAUAACCAUAUGAUUACAUGUGGCAUGCCAUGUGUAUCUCAUUUUGACAUACAAGAACCAAUUUUUAACCAUAGAAAUGGAUAGAAUUUUUAACA